rnacentral:lncRNA from 1 species
UAUUAAUGAUUAUAUUAAGAUUUUAUUGCAAAUAAUAUAUUUUUUCAUCGAUAAUGUUGUUCAAAGCCUUAUUAGCAAGGGUGAAAGUCAGUCGUUAUAUUAAUUAUCAAUAUUAUCCUCAAAUCUCACACUCGCCUACUUAGGUCAAUCAGUUCCUGGACUUAGGAAAAAAAGACUAACAGUGGAUUGGUCGUUCUUUCAAACAGCGGCUAC